ACUAGGUUGGCAGAAUUAUGUGAUUGACUUAGGAUCAAUAGAAAUAGGUCCCACCUAUACCUAGUA
rnacentral:tRNA from 1 species